AGUCAGGUGCCCAACCAACUGAGCCACCCAGGCACCCCCAAGAAUGCUCAUUUUUAACAAGCACCCCCACCCCAAGAGAUUUCUAUGCACAUGAUAAUUGAAAACCAUUACCUUCUUCUAAAACAUAAAACCACAUUUUCAUGACUUAGAUAAUUUAAGAAAGCAAAGUACUAUAGGAAGGGAGAUUGUUCUGCAGCUCAUUGUUUAGAAAGUACUAGAUGCUUACUAGGUUGUUUUAGCCAACACUCCCUCUAAGAACAAUGAGAAAAUGUGUGUUAGAUGGGGAUAUGAAUUUGUAUAUAUACACAGUAGUCCCCCUUUAUCCACAAUUUCACUUUCUGCAGUUUCAGUUACCUGCAGUCAAGUAUGGUCCAGAAGGAGAUAAUCCUGCUUCAGUCAUAUUAUCAGAAGGUUAGAAAAGUAAAUAACUAGGAGGAAGGGAAAUGGUUUUUGGUGUCAUAGCCCACUUGGAUGUGUCAGGGUGAAAGAUGGAUGGCUCCCCACCGCUGCUGUGUGCGUCUGUAUGGGUGCCGGAUGCCCAGGUGGCCAGUGCUUCUCAAAAGAGGCAUGUGAUUAACUACUGGUAAUCCACUUCCUUUCACUGCUACACAGCAAAACUUAUUUCUAAGAAUACUUUUAGAAGCUAAAGGAAAAUCAGUUCCGGAAAGUGGCUUUUCAGAACAAAGGAUGACACAGCCAUGUUCACUAAACUAAGAUGUGCCUGUACCCUGUUCACCCUGCCAUUAAGUGCAAGAUGAAGUGAAGGAGACAGACUCACAGUCCCGAAGGUACAAGAAACCCCUUUUCCCCCAAAUAACCAUAUCAUCUACUCUCUAUUAAUAAAAGGGAGACAAAGAUGAUUCAAAAGGCAGAGGAUUCUUUUAAAAACCAUUUGAAUUUUUGUUUUAGAGCCAAAUGUCUUCAACUUCCGUGGAUCAUGGAGCCCUUAAAACAUGUAAUUAAAGUUAUGGACCCAUUUCCCAGAAAAAUAUAUCCACACCUGACAUUUUCUGUACAAUUUUGUGGAAGAGGUUCAUGGAUCCUCCGGGGUUUUUCUCUGGGUCCCAAGUCUAGAACCACUAUUUUCAGCAAGGUCCUGGUGACCUCCAAUUUGGCCUCCUUUUGGCUCAGUACUGCUGGUAGCAAGCUGAGACUUCUGGCAGGGAACAGGAAGAAGCUGGGGCUAACCCCAGAGCCAGUAAAUCUGGGAUAACAGCAGAUUCACAGAGAGGGGCAGAAAUGAACGUGUGGGCAAAUACAUACACUGUAGCACCGUGCCCAAGUUUGCCCAAUCAGAACAAUGUUAAACAGUGUUGAAAGAUGUUGAAUUUCAUGGAAAGCCUCUGUAAAUCUCUCUCUAAAAUGGACAUCUCCUGAAAGCCCUCGGUGCAAAGUCAAGUCUUGAGAAAGCCAUCAAGACAGAAAAAGAGAGUGAAAAAAAGACGCAGGCAACAGAGCCUAGGGGCAGAUUCCAGAGCUUGUCACUUAGUGUGCAAUGUCCCUUCAGAGACAGAGCUGGGUCUGUAGGUCUCUGAGGCACGUCACCCCUCCCCCAACCCAAAGCGAUGCAGUCACAGCUGAUAAUCAUCACCGAUGACAGGCCCACUGGAGGCUCUGGCAGCACAUCAAAAGGGAGCAGGACUUCAGGGAGGCGUUCUUUGUUACAAAGCAAGGAUGGAACAACAGAGAGUGGGCUGAGGCAUCAGUAUGCUAGACUAGAACCAGUCAGAUGGUCCCCAGUACCAGUGGUCAGAAUUCCAGAUGAUGUCUCAUAGGGAAUCCAUGCAUUUGAUUAAUAGGAUGCAUGGUAAUUAAGGAAUCUCCAUGUACUUCUGUGAGAAGACCAUUGAUAUGGAAAUUGCUCUCCUUUUCCCCAUAUCUCAUGCCUGUUCCCUUUCCAGUUAUCCGUGGGCUCAGUUCAUCAUUUCAGACACUCUUUGGAGUAAAGGAACCACUGCCUUCCUUGAAAUUGGGAUCCAAAUUUUAGAAGUUAGUCUUUCAGUUAAAGAUCUACUUUAUUCUACAUAUGGAAUAUGUAGGGUUUUUUUUAAGAGAAGCCUAUUGCCAGAACGCCCUCAAAUUUCCACAAAGGAGAAAAGACUAUAUGGAGGCAUGCUUACAGAAUUGAAAACUGAGCUCUGCCUUUUAUUCCCCUAUGGGGAUGAAAUGCUACCUCUCUCUUUAAAAAACAAAAAACUCCAAGCAAAGGCACUGACCUAUGUUCCGCGCUGCCAUGAAGAUAAACAAUGAUUGGAUUGCCAUCAUGAAGGGCUGCUUCGUACCAGCAACGGUCCUUUCCCUUCGCAUCUUCACCCCGGCAGCUGGGAACCGUGUGCCUGAAGAGCAAGGAAAGGUUUUAACAAACAGAGGGAAUUGGCUCUCCUAGCCAAAGUCUGAAGCCCUCCUUACGUCAAUCGUAGAUAUAGAUUUAUAUGUUUAUAUAUGUAUAAAUAUAUAUUACAUAUUUAUGUAUAGAAAUUUCUGAGUAUUAUAUGCACCUGGUAAAAAUUAAAAUAUAAUACCACAAACAUCUUACAGUGAAAACCACUACUCUACCCCACCUCCCUCAUGCACAGAAACAAUCCCUUUUAACCAUUAAUCUUCCAAGACUGCGAAUCUUAGGUGCUGUCCAUUGAAAUGAAGUCCAUUGGGUGGAAACAAGUAAAAGACAAUAGGUAUUUGUCACCUGCUGUUUGUUUCACUGAAAAAAGCAAGUUGAAAGAAUUUAAAGGGAAACCAGUUUAGGUAGGAGAAAAGAACUUUAGUGUGAAAUGAAGCUGUUCUCCAGAAAGCUGUGACCUUGUGAUUUUAAACACCUGCCUAAACACCAGUUCCUCCACCCUGUUAAAUCAGUGAACGAAUCCUGAGGACGCAAAUCCUGCCAUAUGACAUGUCACAAAGGGACUUGGAGAAUUGGCUACGUGAUGAUAAAUCUUCAGUCCUCUCAACCGUUUAGGGGCACAAAGUCUGACAUCAAACCCAUCAGCACCGAGAGGACAGGCAUCACUGCCAGCUGGAUAAGCCAGGGCAGGAGCAAAGAAUAAAAAGAUUUUCAAAUGCCAGCACAAUUAGCUGAACCACACGGUGCACAUUAGGAAGAAGUUAUGUGAACCCAUGUUGGUUUCCACACAUUCUAGGAACACACGUUUGAACUCAGGAAGAGGAAGCAUAAAACAGGACACUGGAAAAAUGGCAGC